rnacentral:rRNA from 1 species
GACGGAGGGUGCUAGCGUUGUUCGGAAUGACUGGGCGUAAAGGGCGCGUAGGCGGCCCUGUAAGUCCGCUGUGAAAGUCAAGGGCUCAACCCUUGAAUGCCGGUGGAUACUGCAGGGCUAGAGUCCGGAAGAGGCGAGUGGAAUUCCUGGUGUAGCGGUGAAAUGCGCAGAUAUCAGGAGGAACACCGAUGGCGAAGGCAGCUCGCUGGGACGGUACUGACGCUGAGGCGCGAAAGCCAGGGGAGCAAACGGG